UUUUGGUGAUGAUGGUGGCUAAAACUGGCUUUCGGAUGUUGACUAUGUUUUGAACUAACCCAUAUUUUGGCUGGUUGACGAGUUUAGGUUCGGUGGCUGCCCAAGGCCAGUCGCCGGGAUGCUUUCGGCCCCCUGCCUGGGGGACUCCUGUGAUUAGACGAUGACGAGGCUGACGCCGCCGCUGGCAGUAUUUGCCUUCGGCUCGGCUGAUGCGACAUGAGGCAUUUGUAUGAGGAGACCUGGCCAUCUCGGUAGUAAGGCCGCGCUGUUCUAGUGGGCUGUCACUAAUGCUCGCUGAUGUGACUUGCAGUUCAAUGCAGCUGGCGAAGAUGAAUAGGAGUCCGGUCUGCAGAGAAGACGUGAGGAAGAUUUGUGCGUGAUCGACGCGAAGUGAAAAUGCCUGUUUGCUGUCAUUGAAACGUCAAGGCAGCUACAAGAUACAAACUUCGUGGAGACGCAAAGACAUAUGAGUAGGGGAAACUUCAGGAAGAGUGACAAAUGCGCACUGAUGGAUCAGAAGGCCGCCUUGGUGGGCGUGUUUACAGGUCAAGGCAGCUGCAGGAUACAAACUUCGCUGAGACGCAAAGACAUAUGAGCAGGGGAAACUAGAACAAGAGUGACGAGCGCUCACUGCUUGGUCAGAAGGCCGGUUCCUCCCCUGGUUACAGGUCAAGGCAGCUGCAGGAUACAAACUUCGUGGAGACGCAAAGACAUAUGAGCAGGGGAAACUAGAACAAGAGUGACGAGCGCUCACUGCUUGGUCAGAAGGCCAGUUCCUCCCCUGGUUACAGGUCAAGGCAGCUGCAAGAUACAAACUUCGUGGAGACGCAAAGACAUAUGAGCAGGGGAAACUAGAACAAGAGUGACGAGCGCUCACUGCUUGGUCAGAAGGCCGGUUUGCUGGCACAGUUACAGGUGAGAUGCUUGUGUGGCUGGUGCUGUGAUGUACCUAUUGACCCAUUGGUGUUCUCUAAACAAUUAAUGGACAACCCUGACAGCAACAGCAAACUUCAGAAUAUUAACCUCUUUGGCAUUUGUUGCAUUGGCAUAAGCUAUUUUCCUUUUUGCUCAAUCUUUAGAUGGUUUGGUAGUGGCAGCUUCUAUCCCACUGUGUCCUCCAGCCACUACCUGAGCUGAUUUGGCAUGUGCUGUCCUAGCGGUCAGCGAUCUCCUGUGAUUAGACGAUGACGAGGCUGACGCCGCCGCUGGCAGUGCUUGUCUUCGGCUCGGCUGAUGCGACAUGAGGCAUUUGUAUGAGGUA